AUUGAACGCUGGCGGCAUGCCUUACACAUGCAAGUCGAACGGUAACAGGUCUUCGGAUGCUGACGAGUGGCGAACGGGUGAGUAAUACAUCGGAACGUGCCUAGUAGUGGGGGAUAACUACUCGAAAGAGUGGCUAAUACCGCAUGAGAUCUACGGAUGAAAGCAGGGGAUCGCAAGACCUGGUGCUACUAGAGCGGCCGGUGGCAGAUUAGGUAGUUGGUUGGAUAAAAGCUUACCAAGCCGACGAUCUGUAGCUGGUCUGAGAGGACGAUCAGCCACACUGGGACUGAGACACGGCCCAGACUCCUACGGGAGGCAGCAGUGGGGAAUUUUGGACAAUGGGCGAAAGCCUGAUCCAGCAAUGCCGCGUGCAGGAUGAAGGCCUUCGGGUUGUAAACUGCUUUUGUACGGAACGAAAAGCCCUGGGUUAAUACCCUGGGGUCAUGACGGUACCGUAAGAAUAAGCACCGGCUAACUACGUGCCAGCCGCCGCAGUAA
rnacentral:rRNA from 1 species